GUCAGGAGCGAGAGGGGGAUUAGAUUCAGAGAAUAGUGUUAGAGAAGACAGUUGGUGACAGUUGAGCCAGUAGAACCUGAGCAGGGGGAAAAGGAUUGAACAGUUGAGAGAGUGGGGAGAGAAGAAAUGAAGAUAGGUGGGAAAGGGACUGGUUAAGCACACGAUGGGGAACUGAGAAAAGUUAGAGGAGACAGGAGAUGGAGAGAGGAGAGAAACUAGGAGUCGUUGUGGGAGAAGGAGAAACUAAAGCAUGGAAGAGUUGAUAUAGUUGGGAGAGUGAGUAAUGAAAAAAGUGGGAAAGGGACUGUUUAAAGACACCAUGGGGAACUGAGAGAGGAUGAGUUGGGAGAAAAGUUAGAGGAGACAGGAGAUGGAGAGAGGGGAGAAGCGAGGAGUCAUCGUGGGAGAAGGAGAAGCUGGAGACCUGGCAAAUAAAAGCUAACCAUUGAACUGAGCACUGGGACCCCAAUGGAAGAGUUAGAGAAAGGACUGAAGAAGCUGAAGGUGUUUGCAAUCCCAUAGGGAGAACAACAAUAUCAACCAACCAGAUCCCACCCUCCAGAGCUCACAAGGAACAAACCACCAACCAAUGAGUACAAAUGGAGGGACCCAUGGCUCCAGCUGCAUAUUGUAAUAGAGGAUGGCAUUGUCUGGCAUCAAUGGGAGAAGCCCUUGUUUCUGUGAAGGCUCAUUUCCCCAGUGUAGAGGAAUUCCAGGGUGUUGAGGUGGGAGUGGAUGGGUAAGAGAGGGAACAUCUUCAUAUAAGCAGAGGGAGGGAGAGUGGAAAUGGGAGAGGGGGAGAAAGGGAAUAACAUUUGUAAUGUAAAUACACAAAAUAUCCAAUAAAAAUAAGUUUAAAGGACCAGGCCAAUAAAGGGAAAGUGGGGAAGAGCCUUGAACUCAUUGGCACAGGGGGAAAGAUCCUAAACAGAACUCCAAUGGCUCAUUAUCUAAGAUCGAGAAUUGAUAAAUGGGACCUCGUGAAACUAGAAAGCUUCUGUAAGGUGAAGGACAUAGUUACAAUACAAAUCAGCAUCCAACGGAUCAGGAGAAACUGUCAGAGCCUCCUAGGUUUGACCCCUGCUGAGCCCGGCUGAUGCAUGUGGAACUGACACACCUGGGCCACACCUGGGCCACACCUGGGCGGUGGUCAAUUCGCUCCUGCCUUUUGUUUUCUCAGCCUUUGUCCUUGAGAUUUAGGCUGGUCUUCUCGGAUUUCUCCCUAAUUCAAGUCACGUAGUUGGUCUUUUGUUACCGAAGUCAUGAGCCGAGAAGUCACGAGCCAGGGUUUCCCAGAUAUUUUCUACCUGGUGAACUUGGGUAUAUAAGUGGUGAAUAAAGCUACAGGAGUCUCUC